rnacentral:rRNA from 1 species
ACGCUCGACACCUACUGGAGGCAGCAGUGGGGAAUAUUGCACAAUGGGGGAAACCCUGAUGCAGCGACGCCGCGUGGAGGAAGAAGGUCUUCGGAUUGUAAACUCCUGUUGUUGGGGAAAAAGAGGAUGGUACCCAACAAGGAAGUGACGGCUAACUACGUGCCAGUAGCCGCGGUAAUCUGAGCGGGCUGGCAAGGC